rnacentral:lncRNA from 1 species
UAGAAUUUAUUAAGCUGGAGCAAAACAAUAUGACCGUGUCGCAGUACGAGGCUAAGUUUGCGGAGUUAUUCCGGUUUGCAUCCCAUUUGGUUGAUAAUGAGGAGCGAAUGACGCGAAUGUUUUUGCGAGGUUUGAAACCCGAUAUACGUCAAUACCUCAUUUCUCACAAACUUUGUUUAUAUUCAGAUGUUGUGAAUAG